AUUGAACGCUGGCGGCAGGCCUAACACAUGCAAGUCGAACGAGUGGCGGACGGGUGAGUAAUGCCUGGGAAACUGCCUGAUGGAGGGGGAUAACUACUGGAAACGGUAGCUAAUACCGCAUACCAUCGGAUGAGCCUAGGUGGGAUUAGCUAGUAGGUGGGGUAAAGGAUCACCAAGGCGACGAUCCCUAGCUGGUCUUAGAGGAUGACCGUCCACACUGGAACUGAGACACGGUCCAGACUCCUACGGGAGGCAGCAGUGGGGAAUAUUGCACAAUGGGCGAAAGCCUGAUGCAGCCAUGCCGCGUGUAUGAAGAAGGCCUUCGGGUUGUAAAGUACUUUAAGCGGGGAGGCGUUACCCGCAGAAUAAGCACCGGCUAACUCCGUGCCAGCAGCCGCGGUAAUUC
rnacentral:rRNA from 1 species